rnacentral:lncRNA from 1 species
UGUACACUUAUAUAUUAGUUGUUUUAAGCCCAAGCAUGAUAGGGGUCCAUUUUGGCUUGUGUUAUAAAUGUAAGAUUGUGUACCUCUGAAGUACAUUAAGCAGACCCUACUUUUGUAAGGCAUGUUCAAAGUUUAUCAUGAUGAAUAAUAUUUGAGCUUGACUUCUUUUGAGAAUUUGAAGUUUGUUGAAUGCUUGGAAUAGUAAAGUA